UACAGAGGCCUCGAGCGUUAGGCGGAAUCACUGGGCUUAAAGCGUGUGUAGGCGGAUUGGUAAGUACCUUGUGAAAUCCCACAGCUUAACUGUGGAACUGCUCGGUAUACUGCUGAUCUUGAGCCACUCAGGGGCUACCGGAACAAAUGGUGGAGCGGUGAAAUGCGUAGAUAUCAUUUGGAACGCCAAUGGUGAAAACAGGUAGCUGGGGGUGUGCUGACGCUGAGACACGAAAGCCAGGGGAGCAAGCGGG
rnacentral:rRNA from 1 species